GAUGAACGCUGACAGAAUGCUUAACACAUGCAAGUCAACUUGAACUUCGGUUUGGGUGGCGGACGGGUGAGUAACGCGUAAAGAACUUGCCUCACAGAUAGGGACAACAUUUGGAAACGAAUGCUAAUACCUGAUAUUAUGAUUAUAUGGCAUCGUAUAAUUAUGAAGGCUAUAUGCGCUGUGAGAGAGCUUUGCGUCCCAUUAGCUAGUUGGAGAGGUAACGGCUCACCAAGGCGAUGAUGGGUAGCCGGCCUGAGAGGGUGAUCGGCCACAAGGGGACUGAGACACGGCCCUUACUCCUACGGGAGGCAGCAGUGGGGAAUAUUGGACAAUGGACCAAGAGUCUGAUCCAGCAAUUCUGUGUGCACGAUGAAGUUUUUCGGAAUGUAAAGUGCUUUCAGUUGGGAAGAAAAAAAUGACGGUACCAACAGAAGAAGUGACGGCUAAAUACGUG
rnacentral:rRNA from 1 species